GGCGAGGCGCGGUGUGGGGCUGCGGGGUUUCUGCCGGAAGAGGAAACCUCCCGGUGGGGCGCAGGCGUGCGGCUAGCCUUGGACGCCCGCCCUGGGGGGCCGGCAGGUGUGCGGUGGGAGCGCCUGGCGAGUGAUGGGACCGUGCGCCAGCGCCCCGGGAUAGCGCGGGUGAGGCGACAGAGCCCCGCCCGGGCAGCCAUGGGGCUCCUUCGGCUCCUGGUCCUCGCGGUGCUGGCGUCCGAACCCGGCGUGGCCGGAGGAGCCGAGACCGUCGGGAAUUCCAGCGAGGGUCUUCUUGAAUUUUCCGUAGGGAAGUUUAGAUACUUCACGCUCAACAGACCCUCUCCAGAGGAUGCCAUUUUGCGUCAUAUUUCCAGCAAUGCAUCUUUCCUUAUUUUCCAGAUACACUCACAGUAUCAGAAUACAACAAUUUCUUUUACUAAGACUCUCCUUCACAAUACCUCAGGAACAGGCACUGACAAAGGACUGGUUUUCAUUCUUAGACCAGAGCAGAGUAUGUGCACUUGGCACUUGGAGACUUUAGAUGCUGAGCCUGUCCAAAACAUGGCCAUCCCACUCUCCUAUUCAGAAAGAGAUCCUGUCCCUGGAGGCUGUAAUUUGGAGUUUGAUUUAGAUAUUGAUCCCAACAUUUACUUAGAAUAUAAUUUCUUUGAAACAACUAUUAAAUUUGCCCCAGCAAACCUAGGCUAUGCAAGAGGCACAAAUCCUCUGCCGUGUGACAUUGGGACGGGCCGGGACUCUAGGUGGAGGUUGCUGUAUGAUGUCUAUCAGUAUUUUCUGCCCGAGAAUGACCUCAGCCAGGAGGGUUUGCUAAAGCAUCUGCAGAGGAUGGCAGAGGUGCCUCAGGUGAAGGCCAAUGCAAUCAAGGUGGUUACCCUAACAGCUAAUGAUAAGCCACGUGUUUCCUUUUCCUCUCUCCGAGGACAAGGUGUCAUUUAUAAUGUCAUUGUUCGGGAUCCACUUCUCAAUACAUCUGCCGCGUAUGUUCCUGUUCACACGUACGCUUGCCACUUUGAGGCCACGGAGGGUAAUUGUUCUUCCCUUGGAAGAGUAUCAACCAAAGUGUUCUUCACCCUUUUUGCCCUGCUUGGUCUCUUCAUUUGUUUUUUUGGACACAGAUUCUGGAAAACAGAAUUAUUUUUCAUAGGCUUUAUCUUCACGGGUUUCUUCUUCUACAUACCAGUUACAAGACUGACACUUCUUACGUAUGAUGUUCGUCUGAUUUUGACAGCCGUCGCUGGAAGCGUUGGUGGGAUUCUCCUGGUAGCUGCUUGGUGGCGAUUUGGAAUCCUCCUGAUUUGCAUGCUGUGUGUUGGAUUAGAGCUGGGCUUCCUCAUCUCCUCAGUGAUGUUCUUUGCCCUGCUGGGAAACUUGAAGAUUUUUCAAGACGAUGGUGUGUUCUGGGUGACCUUCUCUUGUAUAGCUGUUAUCAUUCCAGUAGUUUUCAUGGGCUGCCUAAGAGUACUGAACAUACUGACUUGUGGAUUUGUUGGCUCCUACUUGGUGGUCUUGGCCUUUGACAGUUACUUGUACACAAGCCUUUCUUACAUCACUUUGAAUAUACUCAAGAGAGCACUCCACGAGGAUUUCCACAGAGCUUUCACAAAUGUGCCUUUUCAAACUAAUGACUUUAUUAUCCUGGCAGUAUGGGGGAUGCUUGCCGUAAGUGGAGUGACGUUACAGAUGCGAAGAGAAAGAGGGCAGCCAUUUUUUCCUGCCCACCCGUACAAGUUAUGGAAGCGAGAGAGGGAGCGCAGAGUAACGAACGUUCUGGACCCUAGCUACCACAUCCCUCCAUUGAGAGAGAGGCUCUACUGCCGACUAACCCAGAUCAAAGAACUCUUCCGGAAGGAACAGCCAGCUGGAGAGAGAACACCCCUGCUUCUGUAGAUGCCAAAAGGCUUGUUUUCUUCUGCUGGUGAAUUGGUGACAACACAAUGAGAAGGCAGCCUUCUGCAAGCAGAGGAGAGGCCUCAGUGGAAAACAACCUCGAUCUUGGACUUCCAGCCUCCAGAGUGGAAGAAGAUGGUGGAAUAUACUGGCAUGGCCCCUGCUGCAUCGUUUGGAGAGUGAUGAGACAGGUACUAGAGUAGUUACCCAGAGGAGGUACGAUAUGCAAUGAAAUUUAAAAUGGACGAGGGGGGGCGCCUGGGUGG